AGAGGUAGAGGCGCGCUGUUGAUGAGUCGCCGGGGGGAGGCCGAAAGCCUGAGAAUCCCGGUAAAAGGCACCAGCGCCGAAGUGGAGAGGUCAAACCCUCUGCUGGGUCUGCAUCGAACAGGUGCAGGACUGUCCCCCCGGCAUUGCCGGGCCGGGGGGGAGCGCUAUUG
rnacentral:ncRNA from 1 species